GGCAUGUUGAGCUCAGUUGGUGAGAGCGUGGCGCUGAGAACGCCAAGGUUGCAGGUUCGAUCCCCGCAUGGGGGAGCUG